CUACGGGGCGCUCCAGUGAGGAAUAUUGCACAAUGGGGGGAACCCUGAUGCAGCAACGCCGCGUGGAGGAUGACGCAUUUCGGUGUGUAAACUCCUUUUAUAUGUCAAGAAAAUGACGGUAGCAUAUGAAUAAGCACCGGCUAACUCCGUGCCAGCAGCCGCGGUAAUACGGAGGGUGCAAGCGUUACUCGGAAUCACUGGGCGUAAAGGACGCGUAGGCGGGUUGGAAAGUCAGGUGUGAAAUCCUACAGCUUAACUGUAGAACUGCACUUGAAACUUCUAAUCUAGAGUAUGGGAGGGGGAGAUGGAAUUAGUGGUGUAGGGGUAAAAUCCGUAGAUAUCACUAGGAAUACCUAAAGCGAAGGCGAUCUCCUGGAACAUAACUGACGCUAAGGCGUGAAAGCGUGGAGAGCAAACAGGAUUAGAUACCCUCGUAGUC
rnacentral:rRNA from 1 species